UACGAACCGUACAAACGUUAUUCGGAAUCACUGGGCUUAAAGGGUUCGUAGGCGGCCUUGUAAGUGGGUGUGAAAUCCUCGGCUCAACCGAGAAUAGCGCUCCAAACUGCAAGGCUUGAGGGAGACAGGGGUAAGCGGAACUGAUGGUGGAGCGGUGAAAUGCGUUGAUAUCAUCAGGAACACCGGUGGCGAAAGCGGCUUACUGGGUCUCUUCUGACGCUGAGGAACGAAAGCUAGGGUAGCGAA
rnacentral:rRNA from 1 species